AUGGCGCUGGCGAAGGUGCGCAAGGUCGGUGUGCGUGAUCUCACGCGCAGCAUGAGUGAUGCGCAGAUCAUCGCCGCGUAUCAUG
rnacentral:tRNA from 1 species